rnacentral:rRNA from 1 species
UACAGAGGUCUCAAGCGUUGUUCGGAUUCAUUGGGCGUAAAGGGUGCGUAGGCGGCGCGGUAAGUCGGGUGUGAAAGCCCCCGGCUCAACUGGGGAGGGUCACGCGAUACUGAUCGACUCGAAGGCAGGAGAGGGAAGUGGAAUUCCCGGUGUAGUGGUGAAAUGCGUAGAUAUCGGGAGGAACACCAGUGGCGAAGGCGACUUCCUGGCCUGUUCUUGACGCUGAGGCGCGAAAGCUAGGGGAGCAAACGGG